GCCUGGGUGGCUCAGUCGGUUAAGUGCCUGACUUCAGCUCAGGUCAUGAUCUCACGGUCUGUGAGUUCGAGCCCCACGUCGGGCU
rnacentral:tRNA from 1 species